rnacentral:lncRNA from 1 species
UGUGGUAACACCUUCCUUUCUCUCAACCUGGCCUUUCUCACCCACAAGGUGGGAAUGGUGAUUUCCACCUCUCGGGAGAAGAGAGAAUGGGCCCGGAUCUGAGGGGCAUUAACAGGGGAGCAGAGUCUUACUGUGUCAAAUUCUAUCUUGUCCGUGACCUUUGGCGGGCUAUGUGCUGGCACGGAGAGGAAGUUGGAGCGAGGUGUCUGGACCAUGGCGAGGAAAUGGAUCAAUUCUUGCCCUCGUGUUCACUGAAUGAAGUAACUUACAGCCCCAGCUUUGCAGCCAGACAGAGCCCUGGGCAAGUUACCCUGGCCUCGGAGCCCCCACACCUGACACCCCACGUGUUCUCAGCUGUAACGUGGGUUGCAGACACCCGUGUUGCCAAUGUUAUUACCAUGAUUGUUGUUUUCUUCCACUGGCAGAUGCACAGGAAAUGGCUCUCUCUGCUGAACUGAGCACCUCUGGGGCUCCUUCCUGGCCUGGGGUUUCUUUGAGACAGGCCCAGGAGAGUGACAGCCGGGCCUGAGAGGGAAGGACAGGCUGUGACUCACAAAGGUGCAGGAGUCCUCUCCCCGGGUUCACCGGGAGCUGACGGGCUAGGCCGUGGGAGGCCUUGAGACCAAGCUCCGACUUUGGAGAUGGGCCAGGCUUGGCUGGGCGCCUCCAGUGGUUUUGAACAGGGGGCGCCAUGAGUUAACUGGUGCUUUCAGAAAGCUAAACCUGGCAGCAAGUGGCUUCUUCAGAGAAGGGACUCACCCAACAUCAGAAUGUUUACCAAAAUCAAUCACGCGGUGGGCCAUAGAGAAAGUCUCCUUACACUGCAAAGAAUCUGUGUGGUUAUACCGUGUCUGCGAUCACAGUGAAAUACAACUAGAUAUUAAAAGCAAAAGAAUAGCUCAGAAAUUCUGUUUGGAAGCUAAAUAGCAUGUUUAAAAUAGAAACAAUAAAAGAAAUCAGAAAAAUCAAGGAUGGCAUGAUUUUGAGGAUGCUACAUGCCCAAAUGUGUGGCACACAGAGAGAGGGAAAUCUAUGCCUUUAAAUCUAUUUAUCAGGAAACAAGAAGGGUUGAAAACAAACCAGCUAGGUGUUUGCUCCUAGAAACUGGAAAAAGAGCUACAGAGCAAACCUAAAGGAACAAGAAAGAUGACAGGAAUAAGGACAAGGGCAGGCACAAAUAAAUAGAGAUUAGCAAAGGUGCAGACAGGUUUUUUGGAAAGAUUAACAACGACAGAGGGAGGGCCACGAGAUGAUGCUGUCAGGAGGGCGUGCAGGACACAGGAUGCUUUGGGCUGUAGGUGUGGGGAAAAGGCAACCAGGUUUUUCCAUGCAUCUCACAGGACUGGUUUGCCUGGGACAGCCCUGGUUUCUGCCUGUUGUCCUGGCUAUCACUCAUGGCAUCUCCCAUCCCCUCAAAGGGUCCUGCUUUGGAAGGUAACUGACACCAGUGCUGUCCAAUAGGAACUGAGACCCUUAUGUAACUACUGAGAUGUGUGGUUGGUGCAAAUUCACAUCAGAUUUUGA